CUAAAUUCAGACAAGUCCUAAAUAAGUCAGGAUAAGUUUGAUAAGUCUUCCCAAGUCCCCCUGCUAUCUAUUCCCCUCACUGAGAGUGCAGGAUUCAGCUCGGCCUAAUUUAUGGUAUCUGCAGUGUUGAUAUCUGCAUUUCAAUUAAAUGUUAAGCUUCUAUUAAAGUUAAUGGAGAGCUUGAAGGUUGCCUAAGCAGAGUCUUCUAGUGCCAUUUGAGAUGACAUCAAGAAUAUGAGACAUCUGCAUGAAGCCUGCAGAUAAGGCACAUAACCUAGGGGUGACCCAUGCUCUUCUGGAGCAGCCAAAUAGUGACACCACACAGAAUCUAAAAUGCCAGUAAGACAUCUAUGUUUAAGAAAUCAAACUGGAUUUGAGCUUUCCCUUGACUAUAAUGGGAACUGGGCAAACUCAAAUGCAGACAGUGGUGUUGCAGAGUUUUAAUUCAGACCAACUGAAUUCUACCCAGCAUCUCAUAAUAAAUGCAGUGGAGGUGGUAAACAAGUGCUGGCAAUGUGAAGAAUAGCCCUAUUUACAGGGAAGAGUGGAGAGAGAUAGACUGUGGUGCUAUUAAUGACCAGGAAUUACAUAUUUACAUGUGCUGGAAAUAAAACUGCACAAAUAAUGGAUUUGGGGCUUUGGUGGUUGAACUGAAAACUAGAAGAUAAAUUCCUUUCAGUUUACCUGAAAUAGAUUAUUUUCUUUCUUUUUUUUUGUUUUGUUUUGUUUUGUUUUGUUUUGUUUAACCAAUGUAAGAAACACGUGUCUCAGUUGGUUCACUGAUGACCGAGAAUUAGAUUUAUCCAUAGCCUGUAUCCAUGGGUUAAGCAUGAUAGCUAUAUUCCUGUAGCUGUGGAUUAAAAAGCCUAGAAAGGAUGCUGGGCAGGAACUGACAGUUCACAAACUGAAAAUUAACGUGCAGCGUUAUGACAGGAAAUAAUAAACCUUAUUUCACAGCAUGACUGGAAAGCUUAUCUGCUAUAUUGCGUAUUUUAUGGAUUUUACUCUGCAACUUUUGCUUUGAUUGCAUUCACUUGGAGUGUCAUAGUGAGUGUGCAAAGGUGAUUCAUCAUGCAAAAAGAUUGUGAAACAGGGCAGAAUCUCUUAUGCAUCUCCAUGCUCACCCGUCUCCAAAAUAUUCAUAAAAAAAUCACAAUUUGAAGGGUGCAUGAGUUUCAGACCUGAAAGGUUUUCAGGUUUAAUUGUAUUGUUUAACUGGUAAAAUAUAUCAGUCUAAACACUCAAUCAUAGUUUCAGAAGUAUCAAUACUGUAGGUUGUGCCCAUUCAUGGUCUAGAAUAAGCCAUAAUAGCAUUAAAAUGCAUAUGCUGGCAUAACUGUGUCUGCUUUAGAGAACAAAACUGUGCUUCUGGGUUUUACCUGCUUUGAGUCGCUGGUACAAAUGAGAAUACAUACGUGCAUAAAAUGAACAGACAGUGGGUCCUGAUCAACAUGAGCAAUCUUUAUGGGGAAAAAAAUAAAAAUAAAUGUGAUAUUAUGUUCAUUCCCAUAAUCAGUUUAAAGUUACAAGUGUUUAGAAAUACGUAAGCUGAAUUUCUCAAAGAAGAUACAAGCUGAUACUUCAUAUUAUCACACAGAAAGUUGUGCAGUUGGCAGCAAAAGUUGAUUUUCCUUAAAAAAAAGCUAUAUUAAUAUUUACUUGAUUGCCUGAUAAAAGUGAUACUACAAAAGAAUAUUGCAAAGCCUUGGAGGCUUGGCAUGCUUUUCUAUGUGGGUGGAAAAAAUGUUGUGCUGAAGCCAAACUGGAAUGAAUCAUAAAACUAUAGCAUAAAGAAUACACUAGAAAUACUAUAUU
ensembl:lncRNA